GAUGAACGCUGGCGGUAUGCUUAACACAUGCAAGUCGAACGGACUCUUCGGAGUUAGUGGCGGACGGGUGAGUAACGCGUGAGAAUCUGGCUUUGGGUUCGGGACAACCACUGGAAACGGUGGCUAAUACCGGAUGUGCCGAGAGGUAAAAGAGAAAUUGCCUGAAGAUGAGCUCGCGUCUGAUUAGCUAGUUGGUGAGGUAAAGGCUCACCAAGGCAGCGAUCAGUAGCUGGUCUGAGAGGAUGACCAGCCACACUGGGACUGAGACACGGCCCAGACUCCUACGGGAGGCAGCAGGGGGGAAUUUUCCGCAAUGGGCGAAAGCCUGACGGAGCAAUACCGCGUGAGGGAAGAAGACUCUUGGGUUGUAAACCUCUUUUCUUAGGGAAGAACAAAAUGACGGUACCUAAGGAAUCAGCAUCGGCUAACUCCGUG
rnacentral:rRNA from 1 species